ACGAAUGGUUAUUUGAUUUUCGUUUUCAAAGGCAAAAAUUAAAAUUGAAAUACAAGGCGUUUUUCCUUUUCACGAUCAAAAAUGGAUAUACGAAUUUUAAAAAAUGCUUUGAUUUUCAUUUUUUAUUUACAAAAACAAAAAAUAAAAUAAGUCAGAGACAGAAACGAAAUAAGAACCGUUUUUCAUUUUCUGCGACCGGAAGUGGUCAUCAGCAAGGGUGGUCAGAUUGAAUCAGAGCCGGGGACUCUCUGUCCCGCCCACAUUUACCGGCUUCUGCUGUUUAUGGACGCUGCUCCCGCUGCUGCUAACAACGUUAGCUUCCAAAAGUGGAGAUAAACUCUACAGCCUUGGUCUGGAUCAUUGGGAACAUCUGAUCUGAUGGACUGAGAGCUACAGAGAACAUGAACAUCCAGCUGUGGUUGUCUGAACAGUCUUCUCUCCAUCACUGUGAGGAAGAGCAGCACUGAUGUCCUCCUCAUGCUUCCAUUAAGAACAAUGAUGCUGCAGAUUAAGCUCCUCUCUUCAUAAUACUUGUCUUGUGACUGUUCAGUUUUUACACUUCACUGUCAGCAACACAUUAUUUAUUUCAUCCAUUUAUUAUGUGUUUACACAUCUUUACAGUUCACAAUUGUUAAAUAAUGCAGUUUUUAAAUGUGCAAUGAAGGAAAUAAUGAAGCUCUUGAGCUGAAUGUGUUGAUGUUUUAAUGCUGCAUAUCUGCUAUAAAUAACAUUGUACAGGGUUUCUGCAGAUAUCAACCAGUCAAAUUUAAUGCUUUUUAAUGCCAUUUUUAUGCUAUACUGUAAAAAAAUUUAAUGCCACGACCAUGAACUCAAAUUACACGGGUUUUUUUUUUUUUUGUAAAAGAUGAUUUUUAUAUGAAAACCCUACAUUUGACUAUUUCUGAAUCUGGGAACCACCCCUGAACACCAACGGGCUGCAGUCAUUCUCUGAAAGUCACGUUUUUCAGCCAUUUUUGCUGGAAUUUGUGUUUCCCCAUUUCCCAGCCUGGUCCAGCCUGCCGGCCACUUUAAAAACAUGCAGUUUUUAGAAAUUGUACCCACCCGGCUGGAACAAUUAUCUCAAUGCUUCGGCAUGUUUACGCAGAUGCACAUACCUGACAAAUCGCAGUCUAUAAAUAUAUUAUUGUCAAUUAUUUUCUUGAAAACUGCAGAAAGAAAUUUUAAUGCCACCGAGAAUCAAAUUUAAUGAUUUUUAAUGUCAUUUAAGGCCUUAAUUUUUGCAAAAUCAACUUAAUGACUAUUAAUGUUCUGCAGAAACCCUGUUGUAUUUCUGCUACAGCAGCAGAGAUGAAGUUAAAGGUGAUAAAUAGAAUCUGUGAAUACUAAGAACAGAGAAUAAUAAACUGCUGAAAGAGUU